rnacentral:misc_RNA from 1 species
CAGAGUUCAUGCCCUUACGGGUAGAUCUCCCACCCUAUGUUAUUAUUACUUUGUUGCUUUGGCGGGCCGUUGGGUUCGCGCCCGACUAUCGGCUCCGGCUGGUAAGCGCCCGCCAAAGGAAUCAACACCCUGAAUGUUAGUGUCGUCUGAGUACUAUAUAAUAGUUA